AUUGAACGCUGGCGGCAGGCCUAACACAUGCAAGUCGAGCGGCAGCGGGGGUGCUUGCACCUUAGCUUAGCGGCGGACGGGUGAGUAAUGCUUAGGAAUCUGCCUAUUAGUGGGGGACAACAUUCCGAAAGGAAUGCUAAUACCGCAUACGUCCUACGGGGGAAAGCAGGGGAUCUUCGGACCGUGCGCUAAUAGAUGAGCCUAAGUCGGAUUCGCUAGUUGGUGGGGGAAAGGCCUACCAAGGCGACGGUCUGUAGCGGGUCUGAGAGGAUGAUCCGCCACACUUGGACUGAGACACGGCCCAGCCGCAUACGGGAGGCAGCAGUGGGGAAUAUUGGACAAUGGGCGGGAGCCUGAUACAGCCAUGCCGCGUGUGUGAAGAAGGCCUUUUGGUUGUAAAGCACUUUAAGCGAGGAGGAGGCUACUAGUAUUAAUACUACUGGAUAGUGGACGUUACUCGCAGAAUAAGCACCGGCUAACUCUGUGCCAGCAGCCGCGGUAACAC
rnacentral:rRNA from 1 species